CAAUGAUUGUUUUAUAUAGUCCUGAGAUUAGGGUUUCUUGUCGUAAUCGAUUUUGGACAGGCUUGCUUGUUAUUGGCUUUCACCAAUUCUACUUGUCAUCCUUCUUAUUUGUGAUUUUUUGUGACGUAUGUAUUGUUGUAGCAACUCUGUUAUUAGGCUUUAGCAAAUUCUGA